GAUUUCUGGCGUAGCGUGAUUGGCCCGCCACGGUUACGUGUGUGAGUGCCGGUUUGCGCAUGCCAUCCUUCUAGUUGACGCUUCGACUCUUCAUUGAGCCCGGAGCGCUCGUCUAGAUCGUUUACUUUGAAAAAAUUAGAGUGUUUCAAGCAGGCAUGUUUUGCUAUGAAUACAUUAGCAUGGAAUAAUAAUCUAGGACUUUCGGUUCUAUUUUGUUGGUGUUCUGGAGCUGAAGUAAUGAUUGAUAGGGAUAGUUGGGGGUGCUAGUAUUCAAUGGCCAGAGGUGAAAUUCUCGGAUUCCUUGAAGACUAACUUAUGCGAAAGCAUU
rnacentral:rRNA from 1 species